rnacentral:piRNA from 1 species
UGUUCAGCUUGUUAACUGUGA